rnacentral:rRNA from 1 species
UACGUAGGGUGCGAGCGUUAAUCGGAAUUACUGGGCGUAAAGCGUGCGCAGGCGGCGCGGUAAGUCGGGUGUGAAAUCUCGGAGCUUAACUCCGAAACUGCAUUCGAUACUGCCGUGCUUGAGGACUGGAGAGGAGACUGGAAUUUACGGUGUAGCGGUGAAAUGCGUAGAUAUCGUAAGGAAGACCAGUGGCGAAGGCGGGUCUCUGGACAGUUCCUGACGCUGAGGCACGAAGGUCAGGGGAGCAAACGGG